rnacentral:rRNA from 1 species
CCUACGGGUGGCUGCAGUAGGGAAUUUUCCACAAUGGACGAAAGUCUGAUGGAGCAACGCCGCGUGAGUGAAGAAGGGUUUCGGCUCGUAAAGCUCUGUUGGUAGUGAAGAAAGAUAGAGGUAGUAACUGGCCUUUAUUUGACGGUAAUUACUUAGAAAGUCACGGCUAACUACGUGCCAGCAGCCGCGGUAAUACGUAGGUGGCAAGCGUUGUCCGGAUUUAUUGGGUUUAAGGGGGGCGUAGGCGGUCCGGAAAGUCCGCGGUAAAAGCCCGGGGCUCAACCCCGGCGAGCCGUUGAAACUGUCGGACUAGAGACGGCGAGAAGUACGCGGAAUGCGCGGUGUAGCGGUGAAAUGCAUAGAUAUCGCGCAGAACUCCGAUUGCGAAGGCAGCGUACCGGCGCCGGACUGACGCUGAGGCACGAAAGCGUGGGUAUCGAACAGGAUUAGAUACCCUAGUAGUC